CGUGUAGGCGGUUUAAUAAGUCAGAUGUAAAAGCCCCCGGCUCAACCGGGGAUGGUCAUUUGAAACUGUUAGGCUUGAGUGCGAGAGAGGGUAGUGGAAUUCCCAGUGUAGCGGUGAAAUGCGUAGAUAUUGGGAAGAACACCAGUAGCGAAGGCGGCUACCUGGCUCGCAACUGACGUUAAGGCGCGAAAGCGUGGGGAGCAAACA
rnacentral:rRNA from 1 species